rnacentral:ncRNA from 1 species
CGCAGGCGUGGGCGGGAUACCUACCACCAGCGCGCCUGGGAAAAACGGAUGCUGUGGGGGUAAGGUUGAGAAAUCCGGUGCGGUGGCGAAGACAGAGCCGCAACCUGUUUGUCUGUCGGGC